UUGUCAGUGUAACCUGUGCCCAAUUCUCACGUUAUGCUAGAUGCAACUCCGCAUCUCUUACGAUUUCUGUCUGUCCUUUUCGUUUGGCAUAUCAGAAAACGGUAGAAGGGAGACGCCGCGAAGUCGUAUACGUUGAAAGCCUCACACGUAACUCGCCACUCGCCGCCGGCGGGCUGUUGGUGGGAGACUUGAUUGUUUCCAUUGAAGGAGUUCGAAUAGUCGACUUCAAGCAAGCAGCCAAGGUCCUAUCCAAAGCCAGAGAGCAGGUCGUCAUCAACGUCGAGAGAAAAAAGGAUUUCAAGUGGGACAAGAGAAAGGCCCUAAGCUCCUCGCCGCCACCAGAACACGUGCGUUGAAAUUACGUGUGGCCACG
rnacentral:lncRNA from 1 species